rnacentral:rRNA from 1 species
UACGGAGGGUGCAAGCGUUGUUCGGAAUUACUGGGCGUAAAGAGCGUGUAGGCGGCGAGGUAAGUCGGAUGUGAAAGCCCCGGGCUCAACUCGGGAACUGCAUCCGAAACUUCCUGGCUAGAGUCCCGGAGAGGAAGGCAGAAUUCCCAAUGUAGGGGUGAAAUCCGUAGAUAUUGGGAGGAAUACCAGUGGCGAAGGCGGCCUUCUGGACGGUGACUGACGCUGAGACGCGAAAGCGUGGGGAGCAAACAGG